CAUCUCCAUUGCCGGUGAUAAGAGAUUUUUCGAGAUUUUUCUCUUUUCCUUCGACGGGAGAUGAGAAAAGGAGUCUUUUAUUCUAUUUGGGUGUGCUUCUCCUUAUUUUGCUUGCCUGAGGGAGGAAGGGGUGAUCAAGGAGGGUUUUAUAGAGCUGAUAGUUGGCUGGGUCCGUUACUGUUUAACGGUUUCUGUUUUGUGGCCAUCCUAAAAUUAUGGACUUUCUAUGGAGGAGUUGAGUUCUGGGAUGCAUGAAAUGUUACAGCCGGGGCACGUGGCGCCAAUACAUUGGUUUUAAGAGGGGAUCGGAUCACCAUCAAAUUAGGCGCCUGAAUCCAACAGCUAUCUUAUAAUGGAGCGUCGGCAACGAACAAUGAUUCGGAUUCCUACAAUUGUUCAACUCCCGGCCUCUCCCGAAUUGCUAUGAAACUAAUAAAGUGGGUUGAAUUGUACAA